rnacentral:rRNA from 1 species
AAACUUUCAACAACGGAUCUCUUGGUUCUGGCAUCGAUGAAGAACGCAGCGAAAUGCGAUAAGUAAUGUGAAUUGCAGAAUUCAGUGAAUCAUCGAAUCUUUGAACGCACAUUGCGCCCUCUGGUAUUCCGGGGG